UGAAGGCAGAUGGAUGCCUAUCUGAGAGAGAGACGGGACAGAGUUGUCUCAACCCUGGGAGAGACGGGACAGAGUUGUCUCAACCCUGGGAGAGAGGGGACAGAGAUGUCUCAACCCUGGGAGAGAGGGGACAGAGAUGUCUCAACCCUGGGAGAGAGGGGACAGAGAUGUCUCAACCCUGGGAGAGAGGGGACAGAGAUGUCUCAACCCUGGGAGAGAGGGGACAGAGAUGUCUCAACCCUGGGAGAGAGGGGACAGAGAUGUCUCAACCCUGGGAGAGAGGGGACAGAGAUGUCUCAACCCUGGGAGAGAGGGGACAGACAGUGUACUUAUUGGAUCCUGGGUGAAGAGAUUUGGGCUUUAGUGAUUUUAACACCCUGGACCCGGAGCAAGCCCUCACUUGUAACACUGGUCCAAUAGGGCACAGAUACUGUUAGAGGAGGGAGGGUUGUCUCUGUUUGCUGCCGUGGCGGUUUUAAUGCUAUUAGACAGCCUUAACUCUGGUCCUAUAGGUGCUGUUACAUCACACUAGCACCGAACAGGAGACCAAACAGACAGGGGAAAACAACGGACUAUUGGCAGUUAAAGACAAAAUGGACACCAACUAACUGCAAAUGGUAGAUUCCAUAUUUUGUCACGCUCAGAAGGUCAAAAGGUUAUUUGGCCAAGCUGUUUCAUACAGUGCUGUGCUGCUUGUAUAUUGAUGUGCUUUUGUCAUUCAUUCAUUAUUAUUGGUAUUGUCUGGUCUAGUCUCACUAGCUGCUAUGUUACCAAGUCAUCUCACCCACGAUGAGCUAAUUAUCUGAUAGGAAAUGAUACACACACACACACACACACACACAUUUCAUUAUUGACUCAGAAGGGGGAGUAGCGAUCUCUUAAAGUGCUUACUUACGCAUGUCUGUCAUUCAUUAAGUCACUGUCUGUCAUUCAUUAAGUCACUGUCUGUCAUUCAUUAACUCACUGUCUGUCAUUCAUUAAGUCACUGUCUGUCAUUCAUUAAGUCACUGUCUGUCAUUCAUUAAGUCACUGUCUGUCAUUCAUUAAGUCACUGUCUGCCAUUCAUUAAGUCACUGUCUGUCAUUCAUUAACUCACUGUCUGUCAUUCAUUAAGUCACUGUCUGUCAUUCAUUAACUCACUGUCUGUCAUUAAGUCACUGUCUGUCAUUCAUUAAGUCACUGUCUGUCAUUCAUUAAGUCACUGUCUGCCAUUCAUUAAGUCACUGUCUGUCAUUCAUUAACUGUAGACAUGUAUUUGUUCUAACAGGAAACAUGACAAACAACCUCCAUUAGCUUUCUAUGGAUUUACUGUCAGUGACAUCAUAUGCAUCCUAAAUGAUUCCCUAUAUAGUGCAUUACUUUUGACCAGGGCACAAAGGUGGGGACCAGGGCC
ensembl:lncRNA